rnacentral:rRNA from 1 species
AGUGAACGCUGGCGGUAGGCCCAACACAUGCAAGUCGAACGGCAGCACAGUAAGAGCUUGCUCUUACGGGUGGCGAGUGGCGGACGGGUGAGGAAUACAUCGGAAUCUACUUUUUCGUGGGGGAUAACGUAGGGAAACUUACGCUAAUACCGCAUACGACCUACGGGUGAAAGCAGGGGAUCUUCGGACCUUGCGCGAUUGAAUGAGCCGAGGUCGGAUUGGUUAGUUGGCGGGGUAAAGGCCCACCAAGGCGACGAACCGUAGCUAGUCUGACAGGAUGUCCACCCACACUGGACCUGGACAAGGCUCCAGACUCCUAGGGGAGGAAGAGGUGGGGAAUAUUGGACAAUGGGGGCAAGCCGGAUCCAGCCAGACCGCGUAGGUGAAGAAGGCCUUCGAGUUGUAAAGCCCGCUUGUUGGGAAAGAAAAGCGGCAGGUUAAUACCCCGCUGUUCUGACGGUACCCAAAGAAUAAGCACCGGCUAACUUCGUG